AGAUGUUCCCAGGACGCGAGCUAAGUCUGCCCGGCCGGCGCGCGCCGCUUCCGCUUUGGUGGGAAGGACCUCCCUUCCCCCUUAUAGAAACACUUUCUCCAGGCCGGGCCGGGCUUGGUAAACCUCAGCCGUGCCUGGGUAGAGGACGCCGGGCUGGGCCGAGCGGGGGUGGAAUGAGGGCGUCUAGAACAGAGAAAACUAAGAUGGGGUCGUCCCCCCAGUAAUCUGGAAAACAGUUACAGCAACAGGCUCCUCUCAUCAGACGGCAGUGCUGGUCGUUUCCUCACUGGUUUGCGGGGAAGGCUGGGCAGAAAAAGGAUGCAACCUUGUUCUCAACCACUUGCUAUCUCGUGAUUCAGGGAUUGGAUGAGUCUCUAUGGUUUGUUUUGCCCUGAAGAGCAGAAGGCUUCUGUCCCAACUGGUGUUGCCAAAGCAACAUAUUAAUUCCAUGCCAUGAUCCUGGGUCAAGAUCUGCACAAUCUGAUUGGGCAUGUCACCUCGGAUGGCAAGGGAGUGGAAGUGGUCAAAAUCAUGGAGUCCCAGCUUUCGGAGACGCCUUGCAGCUGCCCGGUGAAGAAAAUGCACAAUGGAAACCACCCAGAUGUCCAGUGAUAGUGGCAUGGACAAAUAAAUGUGGUAUAAUCAUGAAGAUAGAAUACUAAAUAGCAGUUAAAAAAUGAAGGCACCCAGCUUGGUGCACAACAUGGAUGAUUCUCACAAAUACAUAAUGUUGAGAAAAAAAGCAAGCCAUAACAGAAAAUAUAUGAAAAGCAUCCAUUUACAUGAAGCUCAAAAAUGGGUGAAAUUAAAGUACAUCAUUCAGGGAAGAAAAACAGUACACUAUAAAGAAAAGCAAGGAAACAACAGAAGGCUAGUUGUUACCUCUGGGUAGAGAUAGAGGUUUAUGAACAGGAAAAGGCAUAUAGGGGAAGUUGUGGGGUGCUGAAAAUGUUUAUUAUUUAUUUAUUUAUUUAUUUUUGAGACAGGAUCUUACUCUGUUUCCCAGGCUGGAGUACAGUGGUGUGAUCACUGCAACCUUGACUUCCCAGGCUCCAGAGAUCCUCCUACUUCAGCCUUAUGAGUAGCUGGAACCACAGGUGCACACCACCAUGCCCAGCUAAUUUUUGUAUUUUUGGUAGGGAUGAGAUUUUGCCAUGUUGCCCAGGCUGAUCUCAAACUCCCGAGCUCAAGCAAUCCACCAGCGUCAGUCUCUGAAAAUGCUGGGAUUACAGCGUCAGCCACUGCACCCAGCAGUUUUUUGGGUUUUUUGUUGUUGUUUUAUUUGAGACAGGGUCUCACUUCGUCACCCAGGCUGGGGUAUGUGGCACAAUCAAGGCUCACUGCAGCCUCGACCUCCUGGGUUCAAGCGAUCCUCCUCCCUCAGCUCUCUAAGUAGCUGGGACUACAGAUGCCCACCACCACACCUGGCUAAUUUUUUUUAGAGAUGGGGUUUUGCCAUGUUGCCCAGGCUGGGAAAGGAGUUUUUAAAAUUGAAAAAAAAAAGCACCCAUAAAUUAUGGUACAUCUAUCCAAUGAAACAUUAGGAAGCUGCUAAAAAAAGAAUGUGGUGAUAUAAAUAAUCUCAGAAUUAAAAGCU
rnacentral:lncRNA from 1 species